rnacentral:lncRNA from 1 species
CUCUAUCUCUCCAUCUCUGAUUCUCUUUAGAACCUUCACCUUUUUCCUCUUCCCCGAUGAGUUUCGCUCACCUUCUUCGGCCACCUCCUAGACUGAAUCCAUGGUGGUCUCACCACCUACCAACCUUAUAUGGUUCAUACACGCUUAGUUGCUGAACUUUCAUGGUCUGACCACGAAGAAGCUUCAUCCAUACCUUGACUGAUUUAAGUUUUAUGGUCAUCUACGGCCUUGUUUUGGCAAGCCAUGUCUUUUUGCAGCUUGGAUUCGACUCCUC